rnacentral:rRNA from 1 species
UACGGAGGGUGCAAGCGUUAAUCGGAAUUACUGGGCGUAAAGCGCACGCAGGCGGUCUGUCAAGUCGGAUGUGAAAUCCCCGGGCUCAACCUGGGAACUGCAUCCGAAACUGGCAGGCUAGAGUCUUGUAGAGGGGGGUAGAAUUCCAGGUGUAGCGGUGAAAUGUGUAGAGAUCUGGAGGAAUACCGGUGGCGAAGGCGGCCCCCUGGACAAAGACUGACGCUCAGGUGCGAAAGCGUGGGGAGCAAACAGG